UCUGGGGCUUCUCAUGUUAUCUGUCAUAAUCCUUUCCCCAUGAGCAGGUCAGUGACAGAACUGGGAUUUGAAUCCACAUCUGAAUGACUCCAGAGCCUGUGCUCUUUAUGUUAGAUCAUAGAGGAAUGGGGGAUGUUAUAAUUCUUUUAUUCAGGUUAACACUUGUUGUAUUCUUCAAGCUCUUAUUUUCUUCUCCAGCAUAUCUUGAAAUCAAAGUUAACGAGGCUAAUGAAGGCUUCUCAGCAAUCCAAGAGAAACAGUAAGUUAUUUGAAGACUGUCCUCCUGGUGUUAUUCCUUGAUUUGAAAUGACACAUGUUCUCAUGUACUCUCUCCUGUUUUCACUGUACUAGAAGCAAAAUGUGGCAUUUUGAGACCAGAGAGUACAACUUUCUCUCAGGACAGUAAUUCUGAUAGUAAUGUUGAAGAUGUGGUUGAAACAUUUCCCAAACCAUCACCCUGGUUUGAGGGCAUCUGUCAUCCUGCCUUCCCAUCGCCUGAGCCUGUUUCAAAACUUCUCAAGUCUGUAGCAGGCCUUGGUCGUACAAAGAUCUGUCAAGAGAACUAGACUUGGAAAUGAUAACAGAGGAAGAACAAGGAAAACUUGAUGAAGAUGAGAAUAACCAUGCACAGGUAUGUAAAACUGUAAAUUUCAAUAUCUGGUGUAGUACUGUAUGAAAAAAUGUGUAUCAAACAAGGCAAAUUAGAAUGGAAAGAUAAGUUAACACCCAUCACAAAUGAGUUAAAGCAGAAGUUCAGUGAAAUUUUGUGAGGAAUACCAAAAUACCAACUACAUGAUAACCC